rnacentral:rRNA from 1 species
AGUGAACGCUGGCGGUAGGCCUAACACAUGCAAGUCGAACGGCAGCACAGUAAGAGCUUGCUCUUACGGGUGGCGAGUGGCGGACGGGUGAGGAAUACAUCGGAAUCUACUUUUUCGUGGGGGAUAACGGAGGGAAACUUACGCUAAUACCGCAUACGACCUACGGGUGAAAGCAGGGGAUCUUCGGACCUUGCGCGAAUGAAUGAGCCGAUGUCGGAUUAGCUAGUUGGCGGGGUAAAGGCCCACCAAGGCGACGAGCCGUAGCUGGUCUGAGAGGAUGAUCGGCCACACUGGAACUGGGACACGGUCCAGACUCCUACGGGAGGCAGCAGUGGGGAAUAUUGGACAAUGGGCGCAAGCCUGAUCCAGCCAUACCGCGUGGGUGAAGAAGGCCUUCGGGUUGUAAAGCCCUUUUGUUGGGAAAGAAAAGCAGCAGGUUAAUACCCCGCUGUUCUGACGGUACCCAAAGAAUAAGCACCGGCUAACUUCGUG